AUUGAACGCUGGCGGCAGGCCUAACACAUGCAAGUCGAGCGGAUGAAGGGAGCUUGCUCCUGGAUUCAGCGGCGGACGGGUGAGUAAUGCCUAGGAAUCUGCCUGGUCGUGGGGAUAACGUCCGGAAACGGGCGCUAAUACCGCAUACGUCCUGAGGGAGAAAGUGGGGGAUCUUCGGACCUCACGCUCUCAGAUGAGCCUAGGUCGGAUUAGCUAGUUGGUGGGGUAAAGGCCUACCAAGGCGACGAUCCGUAACUGGUCUGAGAGGAUGAUCAGUCACACUGGAACUGAGACACGGUCCAGGCUCCUACGGGAGGCAGCAGUGGGGAAUAUUGGACAAUGGGCGAAAGCCUGAUCCAGCCAUGCCGCGUGUGUGAAGGAGGUCUUCGGAUUGUAAAGCACUUUAAGUUGGGAGGAAGGGCAGUAAGUUAAUACCUUGCUGUUUUGACGGUACCAACAGAAUAAGCACCGGCUAACUUCGUG
rnacentral:rRNA from 1 species